GGAUCCAGACCAGCCUGCGCAUCCGCGCAGUCUGGUCAGGAUCCAUGCUGUUCGCUAACAGUUUCUCCAAUUCCAAUAGGCUUUAAAAGCGAACAGCAUGGAGCCUGACCAGACUGCGCGGAUGCGCAGGCUGGUCUGGAUCCAUGCUGGUCGCACACCCACUAAGUUGGUUUUCCCAUGGCACGGCUCAUAUGUUUUGACUGCAGUUUGAGAUAGCAUUGGGCUUUCCUGUUUCAAAAAUUUACACUGUAUUUACAUAUGGAAUGGAUUUUAACCAUUUUACAGAUAGCUUAAGACUAUUUGUGUCCAUUUUUGAUUUAAGGUAGUUCUGUUUGUCUGAUUCACCUGUAGUGACAGAGUAACAUCAUUUAUCCUGAAAUUCUAGAAUAACACCUGGUAGCUGUACUAAGGUAGUAUAAAUGUUGCCAGGAAUAUAUUGUAUUCUGUGUAUUAAGUCUUAAACAGCAACUGUCUUUUUUUUUUUUUUUUUUUUUUUUUUUUUUCAAGAUAAAGUUUUACUAUAGAUAGGUUUUGAUUUGAAUGAAUUCAAAAUAAUAACAAGAAAUAAGGUAUGUACAUGUACUUCAGUUGCUACUUUGCAAAUUGAGAGAAAAAUUAGCACACACUCUUAUGAAUUUUAUUAAGCCAUCUGAUUGAAAAUAGGUAUUAAAGUCUACAUUUAUGAAUAGUUUCAUUAAAAUUUACGUUGUUGAACUUCUUCUGUAUGCAAAAAUGUCAUCAAAAUUGUGAUAACCUUAUUAUUUUAUUGCUGAAUUUCCUUUGGAUACAAUUAUGAUUUGAAAAAAAAUAUGGUUGCAUAAUUCUACAGUGUUAAACAAUGUUUGUUUCCAUUAUGUAGAACUACCUUAAAAGGAAGGCCUCCAAAUAUGUCAAAAUUUAGAAAGUCCUCCCAUUUUUUAAAAAUGAACAAAAUACUUUAGAGUGCAUGUGUCUGUAUUUCUUUCAUAAAAAUACUGUGUUGCCUUUUAGAUAUGUUGAAAAUCUCUUUUGUGUUAGUCACACAGUACAAAUGUUAAAUAAAUUUUGCGCGCGUAAAAUGAUAUUUAAAUAAUUUUAGUGUGUGUCUUUUUGAUAUUUUAGAGAAAUUGCUUCAAGGAGAGGUCUGGUUUCACAAGAAAACUGAUACUGUAACAUGAACGUUGAGGCAAGUCCGUUUAAUACAGUAACAUGCAGUGAAAUCAGUGCUAAUGAUGUCAUAAAAAGGCGUAAAAAUACAUGUUUAUAUAUAUAUAUAUUUGUUGUUCAUUUUGAUAGUUGCAUUUGUCCAGUUUUAAAGUGCAUUUUCAGCCUACAUAAAAAUGGGGGAAAAAAACAUUCAGAGAAAACACAUACUUAAACAUCAUUCAUUUUUGUCUAAAUGGCAGUGGAAUUUAACACUUAAUGAAAAUGUAAAUAUGAGCCGUGCCAUGGGAAAACCAACAUAGUGGCUUUGCGACCAGCAUAGAUCCAGACCAGCCUGCGCAUCCGUGCAGUCUGGUCAGGAUCCAUGCUGUUCGCUUUCAAAGCCUAGUGCAGUUAGAGAAACUGUUAGCAAACAGCAUGGAUCCUGACCAGACUGCACGGAUGCGCAGGCUGGUCUGGAUGCAUGCUGGUCGCAAAGCCACUGUGUUGGUUUUCUCAUGGCGCGGCUCAUAUUAGUUUGUAUUGUAGAAACAUGCAGCUACCUGAGUUUGAAAUUAGAGACACAGACUGGUUAGAUAUUGUACACUUUACAUUGUAGUUAGUUAUAUUGGAUGCCGCAUGCUUGUAACCAUAGCAAUGAGAUGACGAAGAACACAUGCUGUGAUAAUUUUGUUUCCUAGAAUAUUUCAUAGGUGCGCUCAAUGUUGUAUCGUGUUUUUUUACUUUUAAAAGUCAGUGAAAUGUUUUUGAAUUUCCCAGAUUGUUGUUAUUUUUCCCAAUGUACAUGAAAGGAGUCUUGGAACAUUUUGUUAAAGUUUACAAGGGUCAGACUAGACAAACAUCAGUUUGUAUAAAAAAAUUCAUAGUCAGGUCAUUACUUCCUUUGAUGACAGAUAAUAAAGAUUGUUAGAAUUGGCAAUAAAAUUGAAAUAGGUGACUCACAUUUAAUCAAAAUUUGGAAAUUAAAUAUUUUGAAAUUAAACAUUUUUUUGUCCCUGAAUUUUAUUUUGCUACAAUGACUUUUUAGGUAGAACCAAGUUGCAAAUGCUGAAUUUUAUGUUGCUACAAUAACUUUUUAAGAAGAAUCAAGUUGCAAAUGAUUUUAUGAAAUAGAAAGAGGUCCAGACAUGAGAUUCAUAGAGAAAAAAACAUUUACAUUCAUUUCUUUGUUGUUUUGCCGAUGCCAGUCUUGUUAGUUGCUUGUUUCAAGGGGUUAUUACACGCACAGAUAAAUUUAGAGUCUGCUCUAAUAUGCUCGAGGAAUAUGAUAUUGUUUGCUUCCAAUACCCCUGCCCAUUUUGUAUUUAGUCAUUUGUCGAGGUCCUUAAGUCUUAUACCUGAUAUUGUAUGCUCGAGAUAAAUAUUUUUUCUUCCCAAGUGAUGUAAUUAUUUGUAAAUUUUGAGCUUUUUGAUACAAGAAUAUGGUAGGAGUAAGGUAAUAUGUAUAUGUUUGAACUGUUUGAAACAAGAAUUGAUGUAUAUAAUUUUCUGAUAAGGGAUUUUCUGUGACUGGUCUUAGGUGAAUGUGUUCAUUAAAAAUGAGCAUUUGAAGUAACACCUUAUUUAGGUUGGAUAUCGAUAUAUAUGUUAUAUGUCUUUUAUUAUUCAAGUUCUUUCUACCUAGGAUAUAAAUUUUGUCAUUGAUUGUAACUUUCAUGGUGUUUACUAAAUCUUUUCCUACAAACCUUUUCUGGGUUAUUCGCAAGUUCUUUCUAAGGACUUCUGUACUUAUUUGGUCAAUAACUUACAUUAUUACACGACUUCUUAUCUAAAUCACCAGAUCGUAGUUUGUGCUUUAGAUUGGUUUGUUGUACCUGAGAGAAGAAAAAGCUUUGAGUUUUUCUCUGAUGUCCUGUACUAAAAAACUUACCGAAUGGCUUGCUGGUCAGUAGUCAAAACUAUUAGGUGUUUGUCCUUUGGAAAUGUGUACCUUGGUGUGUGCAAUUUUUUUCUUUUGGUAAAUAUUAGUCACAGGAUAUUCCUUGCUUCACAAACCAAAGAUUUAUAUAAAGAAAGGCCUAUACAGUAUACAGUAUUGACCUUGACAAAAGCUGAUGUCUACACAUGUAGUGUAUUCAUGCUGUAAAAUGCCUAUAUCUCACUCCUAUAUUUUCCACAUGAGGGAAUCAAUCUUGGUUUGUUAAUACAUUUCCCACAGGACAGAAUAAGUAAACCUUGGUUUGUCUGUAAGUUCCCACAGGACGGAAUAAGUAAACCUUAGUUUGUCAAUAUAUUUCAGGACGGAAUAGGUAAACCUUGGUUUGUCAGUAAGUUUCCCACAGGACGGAAUAAGUAAACAUUGAUUUGUUAGUAAAUUUCCAAUAGGUGGAAUAAGUGAACCUUGGUUUGUUAAUAAGUUUCACACAGUUUGAAAAUUAAACCUUGGUUCAUGAAUUAGUACAGAAUUUUUAUGAUGCGUGCACGUAAAACUCCAGAACACGUCUCAGUGCAUGCAGUUAUACAACAGUUACAGUAUAAAGUAAAACAAUAAUACCUACCGGUAUAUGUGCCAUAUGUCCAUUUAUCAAUAUAGAAUUAAGAAGUUGUAAGGAAAAUAAUAACUUGCUUGUAUUUUAUUCAGAUGCAUUUAAAAAUAAGAACAGGAAUAAUAUGGAAUUGAAUGUCAAGAGAAACUGUAUGAAUUGUAGUUUUGUGUGUAUCAUGCGAUUUUAUAGUUUAGGAUUUCAUUAAAUGUUGUCAAGUGUUUUGAUGUGAAAUAUUACUGUUCAAAACUAUACUUCUUCACGGUAGUGCAAAAAGUGCUCAAGUGCCAUACUUUUAUAUAAGAACUUGUACACUUUUGGCUGCAAAGUGGAGAUAAUGUUUGUUUUUAUUAUAAAAUGUUAUUUUAUUUUUUAUACUCUUCCAUACUUGUUGCUUUCUAGGGAUUUGUUUAUUUAGGGCCCAAAUUGUUUUUGUGUUAUUUUUUUAAGUUUUUGUAAAAAUUGUUUUGAAUACACAAUCAGUUCAAUAUAUUCUUUCUGAAAGGCUAGAUAGAACUUGCAGUACUGGUGAGUCUUAGUACUUCAUAGCGGAAGUGUCAGAAGUUUCAAAACAUUCAGUUUUGUUUGUGAAUAUGAUCACAUGGGGAUCCUUCCUACUAUGGGCUGGAGAACCUACCGGUACCUACUGUAGACCAGAGAUCCUGCUUACUGUAGGUUGGAGACAUAUCUACUGUAGGCUAGAGAUCCUGCUUACUGUAGGUUGGAGCUCUUACCUACUGUAGGCCGGAGAUCCAGCUUACUGUAGGCCGGAGAUCCUGCUUAUUGUAGGUUGGAGACAUAUCUACUGUAGGCUGUAGAUCUUACCUACUGUAGGCUGGAGGUCCUACCUACUGUAGGCUGGAGAACGUGCCUACUGUAAGCUGGAGAUCUUACCUACCGUGGGCUGGAGAUCUUACCUAUUGUAGACUGAAUAAUACUCGUGAUCCUAACACAAGUUUAAACAGUGAUACAUACUAAGCUGUUUUACCUACUAAAAGUUAACCAGCAAUUUCAUUACAACAUGAAUUGUGAAAAUGAAAGUUAGACUCACAUUUCUCUAUAUGAGCCGCGCCAUGAGAAAACCAACAUAGUGGGUUUGCGACCAGCAUGGAUCCAGACCAGCCUGCGCAUCCGCGCAGUCUGGUCAGGAUCCAUGCUGUUCGCUAACAGUUUCUCCAAUUCCAAUAGGCUUUAAAAGCGAACAGCAUGGAUCCUGACCAGACUGCGCGAAUGCGCAGGCUGGUCUGGAUCCAUGCUGGUCGCAAACCCACUAUGUUGGUUUUCUCAUGGCACGGCUCAUAUAGAACUUCUUUUUAAAAUGUGAUCACACUGUUCAGGUGAAAUAUAUUGAACAGGUAUACUACAUGUGUUCAGUAGAUUUGUUAUAUUUGUUUACAACAGAAGCAUUUAUUUGAACAUAUACUUAGUUAAAAGCUUAACAUGGAAAAUUAAGUUAAGUGAUGGAAAAUGGACAUAUAUUCAUUUAUUUUUGCAAGUUCUUUGGUUUAUAUGGGUCAUUUUUGGUCUUAGGUGGUAAACUUAUGACUUUUUCUCUCAUCACUUAGUCCUAUCAGUCAUCCACUUGUUCAUACACAUUUUCUACUUUUUUCUAUCUUUAUAACAUGAAUAUAUUUCAGAUGAAAUAGAUUUCUUUAAACUACCCUAACAAUAUUUUUAUACAAUACACAAAUAACUUUACUAAUAUUAAUUUUAAAUGUGGCAGGAAUUAACACAUGACUUAUAUUCGUCUUCAAGAAUAAUUUUCAUACAAGUUCUUGAUCUCAGCCAUGCAGCCUGCCCUCCAGCCACCGACUACAUGAACAUUUUCAUGGCAACUUUCAUUCAGAUUAAUGUCAGAAUUUUUUUAAUUGAGAAAAUGCUCUCUUUUUUGUUUACUUACUUCAGUCAUCAUAUACUGUGAAAUCAUUAAUAUUUGUAUGGAAGUAAUUUUAGUGGAUUUUGUUGUUACAAAAUUAAAGUCCAACAAAUAAAUAUAAUUCUUACUCUUUUUAACCUUAAAAUUAAAUCCACAGAUUUAUAAUUAUUCCAACAAAGUAGUGGCCAAAACUGAAAUUUCGUAUGCAGAAAAUAAAAUGAACUCGCAGUAAGUUAAUGUUUCUGUUAUGUAUAAUCCUGGCACCUUAUCUUAUACUUCCACACAUUCAUGUUUCAAUGUUAUUCUUUGGAGGUAGGGUUAGACUAAAAAAUUAAGAUUGAUCAACAGGGUUAAUGUUUCUCAGGAAGUUCAGAGGACCUCUAGUUUUAUAAGUAAUAUGUUCUGAUCUAAUCGUAGGAAGGACCAAAUUGUUUGUGUUAAGAAUUCGCUUGGUCGUGUAAUACUACAUUUUUUUUACCUCAGUGCAAAACUCAUGAAUAUUUAUUGAUUAAGAAACGUAUUCAGCAGUUUUGUGCCGAGUCGACUAUUUGUGGGUUUUUUCUCUAAACAUAUAUUUGGAGGGCAGUGCAUAACAAAUAAAAUGUCCACCACUGUUAGAUCAUCUUAGCACAAUGUUACAGUCUUGACAUAUCACCAGCUAUAAUGUUGCACUCUUUACAUACCACCAGCUAUAAUGUUACACUCUUGACAUACCACCGGAUGUAAAUGUUAUGAGUGACACAGCUCACAGAUUGGAGGCAUUUGUAAAUUUGCCUUCUUUUCUGUUUUCUUUUUUUAAAAAGGAUUUUUAGUGUUUUAAAUUUUAAUCUUUAAAAAUAAAUGAAUGAAUUAAUUAAUAGAAUACCAGUAGAUAUAAUAUUUUUUUUGUUGAUACAAAUAAACAACUUCCUUUACAAGAUCAGAGUUAAGCUGAAAGUAUGAGGCCUGUUUAUUGUGAUAGCAAGCAAUGUUACAAUUAUGACAAUAGUUUAUGAGUGAAGAAAGAAGUGAUACUUCAAGAUUACAGUUAUUAUUUUUUGUUGUUUUUAGCUCACCUGACACAAAGUGACAAGGUGAGCUUUUGUGAUCGCGCGGCGUCCAUCGUCCGUCGUCCGUCCGUGCGUGCGUGCGUCCGUAAACUUUUGCUUGUGACCACUCUAGAGGUCACAUUUUUCAUGGGAUCUUUAUGAAAGUUGGUCAGAAUGUUCACCUUGAUGAUAUCUAGGUCAAGUUCGAAACUGGGUCACGUGCCUUCAAAAACUAGGUCAGUAGGUCUAAAAAUAGAAAAACCUUGUGACCUCUCUAGAGGCCAUAUAUUUCACAAGAUCUUCAUGAAAAUUGGUCAGAAUGUUCACCUUGAUGAUAUCUAGGUCAAGUUCGAAACUGGGUCACGUGGGGUCAAAAACUAGGUCAGUAGGUCUAAAAAUAGAAAAACCUUGUGACCUCUCUAGAGGCCAUAUUUUUCAUGAGAUCUUCAUGAAUAUUGGUCAGAAUGUUCACCUUUGAUAUCUAGGUCAAGUUCGAAACUGGGUCACGUGGGGUCAAAAACUAGGUCAUUAAGUCUAAAAAUAGAAAAACCUUUUGACCUCUCUAGAGGCCAUAUUUCUCAAUGGAUCUUCAUGAAAAUUGGUCAGAAUGUUCACCUUGAUGAUAUCUAGGUCAAGUUCGAAACUGGGUCACGUGGGGGUAAAAACUAGGUCAGUAGAUUUAAAAAUAGAAAAACCUUGUGACCUCUCUAGAGGCCAUAUUUUUCAUGAGAUCUUCAUGAAUAUUGGUCAGAAUGUUCACCUUGAUGAUAUCUAGGUCAAGAACGAUACUGGGUCAUGUUGGAUCAAAAACUAGGUCAGUAGGUCUAAAAAUAGAAAAACCUUGUGACCUCUCUAGAGGCCAUAUUUCUCAAUGGAUCUUCAUGAAAAUUGGUCAGAAUGUUCACCUUGAUGAUAUCUAGGUCAAGUUCGAAACUGUGUCACGUGCCAUCAAAAACUAGGUCAGUAGGUCUAAAAAUAGAAAAACCUUGUGACCUCUCUAGAGGCCAUAUUUUUCAAAGAUCUUCAUGAAAAUUGGUCAGAAUGUUCACCUUGAUGAUAUCUAGGUCAAGUUCGAAACUGGGUCACGUGGGGUCAAAAACUAGGUCAGUAGGUCUAAAAAUAGAAAAACCUUGUGACCUCUCUAGAGGCCAUAUUUUUCAUGAGAUCUUCAUGAAUAUUGGUCAAAAUGUUCACCUUGAUGAUAUCUAGGUCAAGUUCGAAACUGGGUCACGUGGGGUCAAAAACUAGGUCAUUAAGUCUAAAAAUAGAAAAACCUUUUGACCUCUCUAGAGGCCAUAUUUCUCAAUGGAUCUUCAUGAAAAUUGGUCAGAAUGUUCACCUUGAUGAUAUCUAGGUCAAGUUCGAAACUGGGUCACAUGGGGGUAAAAACUAGGUCAGUAGAUCUAAAAAUAGAAAAACCUUGUGACCUCUCUAGAGGCCAUAUUUUUCAUGAGAUCUUCAUGAAUAUUGGUCAGAAUGUUCACCUUGAUGAUAUCUAGGUCAAGAAUGAUACUGGGUCAUGUUGGAUCAAAAACUAGGUCAGUAGGUCUAAAAAUAGAAAAACCUUGUGACCUCUCUAGAGGCCAUAUUUCUCAAUGGAUCCUUAUGAAAAUUGGUCAGAAUGUUCACCUUGAUGAUAUCUAGGUCAAGUUCGAAACUGGGUCACGUGGGGUCAAAAACUAGGUCAGUAGGUCUAAAAAUAGAAAAACCUUGUGACCUCUCUAGAGGCCAUAUUUUUCAAUGGAUCUUCAGGACAAUUAGUCAGAGUGUUUACCUUGAUGAUAUUUAGAUCAAGUUCGAAACUGGGUCACGUGGGGUUAAAAACUAGGUCAGUAGAUCUAAAAAUAGAAAAACCUUGUGACCUCUCUAGAGGCCAUAUUUUUCAUGAGAUCUUCAUGAAUAUUGGUCAGAAUGUUCACCUUGAUGAUAUCCAGGUCAGGUUCGAAACUGGGUCACGUGGGGUCAAAAACUAGGUCAGUAGGUCUAAAAAUAGAAAAACCUUGUGACCUCUCUAGAGGCCAUAUUUCUCAAUGGAUCUUCAUGAAAACUGGUGAGAAUGUUCAGCUUGAUGAUAUCUAGGUCAGGUUCAUAACUGGGUCACGUGCGGUCAAAAACUAGGUCAGUAGGUCGAAAAAUAGAAAAACCUUGUGACCUCUCUAGAGGCCAUAUUUUUCACAAGAUCUUCAUGAAAAUUGGUGAGAAUGUUCACCUUGAUGAUAUCUAGGUCAAGUUUAAAGGUAGGUCACUAUGUCAAAUAAUAGAAAUAAUGACGUCAUACUCAGUUCAACACUUGGUCAUGUGGGGAUAGGUGAGCGAUUCAGGACCAUGAUGGUCCUCUUGUUUUUUUUAUUGUAACAGAUGUCUGUUAUGAACAUACCUGUCUUGCUUAAAACACAGUUAUAUUGUAUUUGGUGAUGAAUAUUAACCUUUAGCCUGCUGGCGGCAAGAGAUUCUGCCUUUGCGAUCAGUGUAGACCAAGAUCAGCCUGCACAUCUGUCAGUAAAUUUUCAGGGAACACCCCUUUGAAUAAUAAAUGGUAUUGCCCAAAUUGAGUGAUGGACCAGUCCAUUUUAGAAAUUUUGCAUACUAAAGGUUAAGACAUAAAAAAAACUUAACAUAUGAAGUUUAUUCAUUAUAGAUGUAUUGAUACAAAUCAUCCACAAUAUUUGUAGACACAAAACAGCCAAAUAUUUACUAUUUAACUAUUAUUCUCUGCCAACAUAUUUCUUAAAUGUUUCUGAAGAAACAAAUCUGUAACUGUGUAAACAUGACAAACAACUCAAAAUUUUACAUAAUUAUCUUUCAAGACAAUUUUUUUUUGGCUUAAGUACCAGAUCCAGUAAUAAUUAAAAUAUAUCUCUGAAUAUUACUGUUUGACACAAAUGAGUUUAGGGGUUUUUUUUACACUUUUUGAGAUAUAUCAGUUUAUAAGCUGAUAUGUGCACUGUCAGGCUUUCACUUACUAGAACAGAUGGCAUUUCAUACCAUUAUCAUUUCAGUUUCUGUAUGGUUUUUUGACCCUUGAUAUUUUGUUGUAGAACUUUUUGUUUCUAUGCAACAUUUCAUUUGUGCACAUAGAAUUAUGAAAAUUAAAUUAUCAGUCUUAUAUACAGAA